rnacentral:sRNA from 1 species
GCCAGGUGUGGUGGUGCACACCUGUAAUCCCAGUGACUCAGGAGGCUGAGGCAGGAGGCUUGCAGGUUCUAAACAACCUCAGCAACUUAGUGAAGACCUAAGCAACUUGUGAGAUCCUGUCCCAA